GCCAGAAUGUGGAAAGUUAAGUCAUUAAGUUAUGGUGGUCUAAUGAAUGUUACAAUGGAAUUGCCACGUAUGUUGACUGUUUCGAACAAUGUGUAUCAUCUGCGGGAAGUUGUUGGAUGUAACGACGUAUUGAAUUGGGCAUUUCACACGCUUCAACAUCCAAUUUUGCCGUGCUGCUUCGGCAUUUGCGCAACACGGAAGAACAUAGUUCUGCGAUAUCACGGGAAGGUUCACGUCCCUCCACCUGGUCAGUUUCUUGCUCAAGUGAUUUUCAGCAUCAAGUACCGAUACAGCUACAAGUCCUCAGGAUCAGACAGCAAGAGCAGAGUGACAUCUUGGAGACAGUAGCUGCCAAAAUCAGUGGCCCUAGAGCCAGACAGCCAUCAGCACCUCCAAUUGUACCGUCCCCAUUCCAAUCACAGGAGCAGCUGGAAGGGUUUGCUGAAUCUCUGAGAGCAACCCAACGCACUAACCUUGUCCGUAAACUUCUGUUUCAUGUAGCUUAUAAUUUCUCUCAUAACUGUGCCUGUUACUGUCCAGUAGUAUUGCUCAUACAUUGAUUUGCCUUUGCCUAAUUUAUCCUGCUCUGGCAAUGCGUGGCCCAUAAUCUUCAGCUUUCUUAUGUGUCGCAGUAGGUGAGACAUAGAGGUAGUUCAAAAAGAUAUCAUUCUUGGCUGCCUAGGUCGUACUAUCCCCUGUCACUACUAUCACCAACUACUAUCACCUUCGACCAUUCACGCCCAAGACGGGAGAAGAGGCAUUCUGGCGUCUCGAACGGCUCGAGCACCAGAGAGGUAGCAUUCCGUGCGUUCCAGAAGUCUCUCUACAUCGCGUUUGUUGAAAGGUUUACCUUUGCUUGUCGUUGUGAGCUCUUCGGUGAGAGCACGGAGGCUCAAAACUUGCAGCCGAUUCAAAAAUUGUGCAACUCGGGUGCUCUCGUUGUCAGAGCGAGAGACGGGAACCCGGCCGUGUGGACAAAGUUUGGUGACAUCGUGAACGAAAAAUGUGAUGUUGUAGAAGGCUUCGUUGCAUGCGAGCAGUGUAAGAAAGUGUACCCGCGCAACAGUGACAAGACAGGCACCACCAACUUGAGGAACCAUAAGUGCGUUUCAGGCACCCAGCUCUCUGUUAAAGCAAUGUUUUCAGCAACGGACGCGGAGUCAGUCUGGUUUACAGCUCGCAAAAUAAACUUCGAGAAUAAAUUCCUCAAAAUAAAUAAAAAUCUACGGUGCAAAAAUAAAGCCGUAAAAAUUAACUUUUGUGAUACAAACGCUUCAGUAUCAGGCUUUCAAAAUAAAUCGUCUCUGAUCGAUGGACAGGCACGACAGCCUCACGAAGCAGCGAAGGCUUCUGGCUCCCGCGUCUGAAAAUAGGUCUCCGGUAAUUUCUUGCGGAACUGACGUCACUGAGCAUGUGACACUCUACUUCCGUGUCUAGCUCUCCGCGGCUGUAUCAUAGUGUUUGGCGGUUGUGGCUCGAUUUCGCGUUGAUUUCCUUGUGACGCUGAAAAUAUUAUGGGUGGGCGUUCAGUGUAUGGUUGCACGAACUCACCGCAGAAAGGAUUUAAGCUUUUCCGAUUCCCGUGGAACGCUAAACAGCGAAAGCAGUGGGCUCUCGCUGUGAAGAGGGCUGACCCCAACAGUGAGUUAUGGAUGCCAAACCAUAACUCGCGGAUCUGCGAGGUCCACUUCGUAUCGGGCUGUCCAUCCAACGACCCGGUAGACGUCGACUACAUUCCAUCGAAGUUCAGCCACGACGAGAGGAACAGGCUCGAAAAGCUGACGAUAUACACGAAAGGCAGCGCUACACGUUCCUUGCUGCGAAAAGGGCGAGCAGCCUGUCAUGUAUGAGGAACGGUGAUUCUUCGGGAAAUUAUGGUUAUUCCCAUGAAGAAAGUGUGAGUCAUGUUGACAACAUCUCUGUCUGAUGACGAGACCGGAAUCGCGGUCCAGACAGAUCCAGUGUCCUACCUGUGAACAAACUGCACACACCUGCGCAUGGAACAUGAUGCACUCCAUCUACAAGUCGCUGAGCUGGAACAACAAAAUUUUGUGUUGAGGAAAAAGGCAAGUGACACAACUGACAUUUCCCAGGUCCAAGACGACGAAUUCUUGUUCUACACAGGUUACAAGUGACAAGAAAGAUCAUCUCACUCAACAUGAAAACACAGCCUGUGACAGGAAGAACUUGGAGAGAUACAACGAAUCUAAACAAUGUCAACCUUUUCUUCAUGAUGCAUUUGAUGGAACAACCAGUAGCGGGCAAAGCACCUUCGUCACAGAUCUGACACGGGCAAUGGUUGCUGCAAACAUCCCUUGGAAGAAACUAGUAAACGUUAUAUUCCGCUCCUUCCUGGAAAAAUAUUGUGAACGGACUGUGCCACAUGAAUCCACACUAUGAAACGGGUACCUUGCACCGCUCUUCGAAGCCACAGUGCGUGAAAUUAGGUGCGACAUCGGCGAUUCCCCCAUAUGGGUGUCUGUAGACGUAACAACUGAUGUCAAGGGCAUGUUUGUGCUUAACCAAAUCAUAGGAAAACUCACUGAAGAACCAACACGACCGUAUUUACUUUGCUCCAAGACAAUUCACAAGGUGGGAGGAGAGGCGGUUGCACGUUUUGUGAACGCGUCGUUGCUCUCGAUGCAGCCACCGGUGGAACACGAUAAAGUGCUAAUCUUGACAACUGAUGCAACUUCCUACAUGUUGACAGCCGGGUCACAUCUUAAGGUAUUUUAUCCAAACGCAACGCACAUCACGUGCCUUGCUCAUGGACUUCACCGUGUGUGCGAAGAGGUUAGGAAUAAUUAUCCGACCGUAAACAAGUUAAUUUCAACAGUGAAAGAUGUCUCCCUCAUAUGUCCUUCACGGAUUAACGCAUUUAAGGAACAGUUGCCAGAUGUUCCGCUACCUCCGGAGCCAGUCGUCAGUCGAUGGGGAACUUGGUUAGAAGUAGUGCGGUACUUUGGUUUGCACUUUGAAGAUGUUCGUUGUGUCGUUAGGGGCUUCGAUCCCGAUGCAGCAGCCGCCGUUCGAUCUGCACAGGGGGCUAUUUCCAGCGACGAGGUUAAGACUGACAUCUGCUUCAUCAAUGCACAUUUCACUGUGAUAUCCGACAGCAAAAAGCAGCUCGAUCGGCUAGGAAACACUCUCCACGGGGCUGUCAAUGUAAUGGAAAAUGUUGGUCUAAAACUUGAAAGUGCCCCGCAAACAGUGGGAGUACAGAGAGUGCGCCACAAGUACAACAAUGUGCUGGACAGAAAUUCUGGUUUCAAGACUGUGGCUUUCAAGAGAUUCUGGUUUCAAGACCCUUGCGGCUGUGCUCAGUGGCGAUGUAUCUUCUGUGCCGGACGAUAUUCCUCGCGAGUUCAUGUUCUCCUAUACUGUUAGAAAAAUUGAUACCUUUUAGGGUAUAAAUCGCCAGUGCAAUAACUCGUACCUUUUAGGGUAUAAAUUUAUACCCUCCGGAAAGGUAUAUAUAGUAUAUACCCCAGUGGAGGUAUAGAAUUUAUACCUUUUCUUCACAUAAGCUGUACCUCUGCAGAGGUAUAUUCUAAUCCAGUUUGCGACAAAAUUUUAGGAUAGGGAGUUGAAAUAACAUUUGAUGAGAAGAAAAGCGUUUUUUCUUUUUUUCUUUUUCACCACACUCA